CCUACGGGAUGCACCAGUGGGGAAUAUUGGACAAUGGGCGAAAGCCUGAUCCAGCAAUGCCGCGUGUGUGGAGAAGGUCUUCGGAUUGUAAAGCACUUUUGACGGGGACGAUGAUGACGGUACCCGUAAAAGAAGCCCCGGCUAACUUCGUGCCAGCAGCCGCGGUAAUACGAGGGGGCUAGCGUUGCUCGGAAUGACUGGGCGUAGAGGGCGCGUAGGCGGUUUAUGCAGUCAGAUGUGAAAUCCCCGGGCUUAACCUGGGAACUGCAUUUGAGACGCAUAGACUAGAGGUCGAGAGAGGGUUGUGGAAUUCCCAGUGUAGAGGUGAAAUUCGUAGAUAUUGGGAAGAACACCGGUGGCGAAGGCGGCAACCUGGCUCGAUACUGACGCUGAGGCGCGAAAGCGUGGGGAGCAAACAGGAUUAGAUACCCUCGUAGUC
rnacentral:rRNA from 1 species